UACGUAGGGGGCAAGCGUUAUCCGGAAUUAUUGGGCGUAAAGCGCGCGCAGGCGGUUUCUUAAGUCUGAUGUGAAAGCCCACGGCUCAACCGUGGAGGGUCAUUGGAAACUGGGAGACUUGAGUGCAGAAGAGGAAAGUGGAAUUCCAUGUGUAGCGGUGAAAUGCGUAGAGAUAUGGAGGAACACCAGUGGCGAAGGCGACUUUCUGGUCUGUAACUGACACUGAGGCGCGAAAGCGUGGGGAGCAAACAGG
rnacentral:rRNA from 1 species